AACAAAUCAACUUUUUAGUUUUUAGAUACAAUGUUUGACUUUUCGUCUUAUUAAAAAAUUAUGAUUAUUAACUUUAUUUUUAUUAGAUGAUAAAACAUGAAUUGUACUUUAUGUGUGACUAAUUUUUUUAAAAUUUCUUAAAAAAUUUUCAAAUAAGACAGACGGUCAAACGCUUGACACAAAAACC
rnacentral:pre_miRNA from 1 species